rnacentral:rRNA from 1 species
UACGUAGGGUGCAAGCGUUGUCCGGAAUUAUUGGGCGUAAAGAGCGUGUAGGCGGCUCGGUUAGUCCGCUGUGAAAGUCCAGGGCUCAACCCUGGAAUGCCGGUGGAUACUGUCGGGCUAGAGUCCGGAAGGGGCGAGUGGAAUUCCUGGUGUAGCGGUGAAAUGCGCAGAUAUCAGGAGGAACACCAAUGGCGAAGGCGACUUCCUGGCCUGUUCUUGACGCUGAGGCGCGAAAGCUAGGGUAGCAAACGGG